rnacentral:rRNA from 1 species
GAUGAACGCUGGCGGCGUGCCUAAUACAUGCAAGUCGAGCGAACGGACGAGAAGCUUGCUUCUCUGAUGUUAGCGGCGGACGGGUGAGUAACACGUGUAUAACCUACCUAUAAGACUGGGAUAACUUCGGGAAACCGGAGCUAAUACCGGAUGAUAUUUUGAACCGCAUGGUUCAAAAGUGAAAGACGGUCUUGCUGUCACUUAUAGAUGGAUCCGCGCUGCAUUAGCUAGUUGGUAAGGUAACGGCUUACCAAGGCAACGAUGCAUAGCCGACCUGAGAGGGUGAUCGGCCACACUGGAGCUGAGACACGGUCCAGACUCCUACGGGAGGCAGCAGAAGGGAAUCUUACGCAGUGGGCGAAAGCCUGACGGAGCAACGCCGCGUGAGUGAUGAAGGUCUUCGGAUCGUAAAACUCUGUUAUUAGGGAAGAACAUAUGUGUAAGUAACUGUGCACAUCUUGACGGUACCUAAUCAGAAAGCCACGGCUAACUACGUG